rnacentral:rRNA from 1 species
CCUACGGGAGGCAGCAGUGGGGAAUAUUGCACAAUGGGGGAAACCCUGAUGCAGCAACGCCGCGUGAGUGAAGAAGUAUCUCGGUAUGUAAAGCUCUAUCAGCAGGGAAGAAAAUGACGGUACCUGACUAAGAAGCCCCGGCUAACUACGUGCCAGCAGCCGCGGUAAUACGUAGGGGGCAAGCGUUAUCCGGAUUUACUGGGUGGAAAGGGAGCGUAGACGGUGUGGCAAGUCUGAAGUGAAAGCCCGGGGCUCAACCCCGGGACUGCUUUGGAAACUGUCAUGCUGGAGUGCUGGAGAGGUAAGCGGAAUUCCUAGUGUAGCGGUGAAAUGCGUAGAUAUUAGGAGGAACACCAGUGGCGAAGGCGGCUUACUGGACAGUAACUGACGUUGAGGCUCGAAAGCGUGGGGAGCAAACAGGAUUAGAUACCCGAGUAGUC